rnacentral:rRNA from 1 species
CGAAGGGGGCUAGCGUUGCUCGGAAUCACUGGGCGUAAAGGGUGCGUAGGCGGGUCUUUAAGUCAGGGGUGAAAUCCUGGAGCUCAACUCCAGAACUGCCUUUGAUACUGAAGAUCUUGAGUUCGGGAGAGGUGAGUGGAACUGCGAGUGUAGAGGUGAAAUUCGUAGAUAUUCGCAAGAACACCAGUGGCGAAGGCGGCUCACUGGCCCUAUACUGACGCUGAGGCACGAAAGCGUGGGGAGCAAACAGG